CUGAAACCCUGGAAAUCAAAACAGGGGAUAAGGGGUUCUACUGGAAGUGAAAUGACUCCAGUUCAGCAUCGUUGGUCAUCUUUGAUAGUUAAAGAUGUGAAAUACAGAGGAUCAAGAUCUGUUAAGUCACAGGGAAGCUCUGUGUGAAGAGGCAGGAUCUCUUCCUGCCUAAAUCCACUCUAAACCAGAAGCCAGUUAGCAACCUUCCCCUGUUUCCAUUUUACCAAACUUUCCUGGCAUGUGAGGUUCACAAAUGAGAUUUGCAAAACAGCCCAUGCAGAGCCAGACAUCCUGGACGUAACCAGAGCACCAAGGCUCAGAAAAGCCAACUCAGAGACAUGACUGUUAGUUUAUUCCUGUGGGAAAAGCUCCUUCCCUAAAAGAUACGCGGAAUGUGCUUGCUGUCAAAUCCGUCAAAACUAUGCCAUGUAAAGCUAUAGGGGAAAAAAAAAAAAAAAAACCUCUGAUAAAAACUGAAGAGACAUUUGCAAAGAGGCCUGUUUUGCA